GCCCAGGGACUACAAAGUUGGAAGUGACCCAAGCUAAGCAGAGUCGGGCCUGGUUAGUACUUGGAUGGGAGACCACCUAGGAAGACCAGGUACGGUAGGCG
rnacentral:rRNA from 1 species